rnacentral:rRNA from 1 species
CCUACGGGAGGCUGCAGUGAGGAAUAUUGGUCAAUGGGCGAGAGCCUGAACCAGCCAAGUCGCGUGAGGGAGUACUGCCCUAUGGGUUGUAAACCUCUUUUGUCGGGGAGCAAAAGCCGGACGUGUCCGGCUGUGAGAGUACCCGAAGAAAAAGCAUCGGCUAACUCCGUGCCAGCAGCCGCGGUAAUACGGGGGAUGCGAGCGGUAUCCGGAUUUAUUGGGUUUAAAGGGUGCGCAGGCGGAUUUUUAAGUCAGCGGUAAAAUCGUGGGGCUCAACCCCAUCCAGCCGUUGAAACUGGGGAUCUAGAGUGUGCGAGAGGUAUGCGGAAUGCGUGGUGUAGCGGUGAAAUGCAUAGAUAUCACGCAGAACCCCGAUUGCGAAGGCAGCAUACCGGUGCACAACUGACGCUCAGGCACGAAAGCGUGGGUAUCGAACAGGAUUAGAUACCCGAGUAGUC